GGCAAGGCAUGGUCUGGAUAUACCUGAAAUCCCUACCUGAGAGCCUGAGAUGGGUGGAUCACUUGAGUUCAGGAGUUCUGAGCUGCAGUAAAUUUAACCAUUCCAGUGUUUGUAUUAAAUUCUGUGGCAAUAUGGUAAGCCACUAGAAGUGGGGGCCAUCUGGCUGUCUAGGGAGGAGUAAAUCAGCCUGUGUCAGAAAUGGAGCAGGCCAAAACUCCUGUGCUUUUCAGUAGUGAAAUCAGGCCUGUGAGAGACAACUGAUGUUCUAGCCUGGGAAAGAUAGAUUGAAUCUGA
rnacentral:SRP_RNA from 1 species